AUUGAACGCUGGCGGCAGGCCUAACACAUGCAAGUCGAACGAGCGGCGGACGGGUGAGUAAUGUCUGGGAAACUGCCUGAUGGAGGGGGAUAACUACUGGAAACGGUAGCUAAUACCGCAUACCAUCAGAUGUGCCCAGAUGGGAUUAGCUAGUAGGUGGGGUAACGGCUCACCUAGGCGACGAUCCCUAGCUGGUCUGAGAGGAUGACCAGCCAGACUGGAACUGAGACACGGUCCAGACUCGUACGGGAGGCAGGAGGGGGGAAUAUUGCACAAUGGGCGCAAGCCUGAUGCAGCAAUGCCGCGUGUGUGAAGAAGGCCUUCGGGUUGUAAAGUACUUUCAGCGAGGAGGCGUUACUCGCAGAAGAAGCACCGGCUAACUCCGUGCCAGCAGCCGCGGUAAUAC
rnacentral:rRNA from 1 species